AGUGAGUGUAUGUGUCUUUCAGUGAGAUUGUGUGUGUCAGUGAGUGUAUGUGUCUGUCAGUGAGAUUGUGUGUCUGUCAGUGAGUGUAUGUGUGUGUCUGUCAGUGUGUAUAUUUGAAGCUGUCUGUGCAGCAUGUUUUGAAGUUGCAACAUUGCAUUUACAAACAUUUCCUGUUAUCACCAGUGGCUGUAAUAUAACCCGUG